rnacentral:rRNA from 1 species
CAUCCUACGGGGGGCAGCAGUGAGGAAUAUUGGUCAAUGGUCGGGAGACUGAACCAGCCAAGCCGCGUGAGGGAGGAAGGUACAGAGUAUCGUAAACCUCUUUUGUCAGGGAACAAAGGCGGGGACGUGUCCCCGGAUGAGUGUACCUGAAGAAAAAGCAUCGGCUAACUCCGUGCCAGCAGCCGCGGUAAUACGGAGGAUGGGAGCGUUAUCCGGAUUUAUUGGGUUUAAAGGGUGGGCAGGCGGUCUGUUAAGUCAGCGGUCAAAGCUCGGGGAUUAA